rnacentral:rRNA from 1 species
AUUGAACGCUGGCGGCAUGCCUAACACAUGCAAGUCGAACGGCAGCGCGUAGUGUAGCAAUACAUUAUGCCGGCGAGUGGCGGACGGGUGAGUAGAGCAUAGGAAUCUACCUUAUAGAGGAGGAUAACUUGGGGAAACUCGAGCUAAUACUGCGUAAGUUCUACGGAAGAAAGGGUGGGACCUUCGGGCCACUCGCUAUAAGAUGAGCCUAUGUCGGAUUAGAUAGUUGGUGGGGUAAAGGCUUACCAAGUCUAGGAUCCGUAGCUGGUCUGAGAGGAUGAUCAGCCACACUGGGACUGAGACACGGCCCAGACUCCUACGGGAGGCAGCAGUGGGGAAUAUUGGACAAUGGGGGAAACCCUGAUCCAGCGAUGCCGCGUGUGUGAAGAAGGCCUGCGGGUUGUAAAGCACUUUAGUUGGGGAAGAAGGUUGAAAGGCGAAUAGUCUUUUGAAUUGACGUUACCCAAAGAAUAAGCACCGGCUAACUCUGUGCCAGCCGCCGCAGUAAGAC